GACGAACGCUGGCGGCGUGCUUAACACAUGCAAGUCGAACGGAGUGGCGAACGGGUGAGUAACACGUGGGUGAUCUGCCUUGCACUUCGGGAUAAGCUUGGGAAACUGGGUCUAAUACCGGAUAGUGCAAGAUGAGCUCGCGGCCUUUCAGCUUGUUGGUGGGGUAAUGGCCUACCAAGGCGUAGAGGGGUAGCCGGCCUGAGAGGGUGUACGGCAACAUAGGGACGGAGAUACGGACCAGACUACUACGGGAGGCAGCAGUGGGGAAUAUUGCACAAUGGGCGGAAGCAUGAUGCAGCGGCGCCGGGGGGGGGAUGAAGGCCUUCGGGUUGUAAACUCCUUUAGACAGGGACGCGGUACCUGUAUAAGAAGCCCCGGCUAACUCCGUGCCAGCAGCCGCGGUAAUAC
rnacentral:rRNA from 1 species